ensembl:lncRNA
UCUGCCUACUAGAAUUACUGGUAACAGGUGAAAAAUAACUUCUUUUCAGUAUGGGAAGGACACACUCGGUACUGCUGGGUUUGGAAAGUGUUCCUGAUCAACUGGAGAGGUCCCAGAAAACUAGAGACUUGCUAACGUGACUUCAAUUUGCAAGAAUGGUUCUAAGGAGGAUUUGAGGAUGUCUCCCACAGUAUUCUCCUGGAGAAGCUGGCAGACCAUGGCUUGGACAUGUAUGCUCUUUGCUGGAUAAAGAACUGGCUGCAUGAAUAGGAGUGAUGGUGAAUGGAGUUAAAUCUAGCUGUCAACUCGACAUGAGUGGAGG